GGAGUCCCUGCCAAGUGAUGGCAAAGAGAUGUGGUUUUGGAAGACGGGCCGCCGCGCUGCUGUGUCCUGUCCUGCCUCAGGAGACAGACCACAGACUAGACGGUGUUCUCGGAGGGACCUGCCAGAUGGUAGCACGCCUCUGGACAUUUCAGAUACAUCUUGAGGAUCUGUCCGCGUCCUGAGGCUGCAGCGCCCUCACCAUGAGGAGACAGCAGAGCCCCGCUGCGCAGACGCCUCACAGUUCAGGUUUCCAACCUCGACACUCGCCUGUGCCACAACAACUAAAGGAUGACCGUGGCGGCUGCCCUGAUCGGAAA